rnacentral:piRNA from 1 species
UUGAUGGAGGCAUAGGUAAACCUGGG